AGGGAGUGUCUAACGCAGCAUUAGUCCAGCACAUUCUCAAAUAAGGGACAGACUUAAAAUUGAUUCUGCAGGAAGCAAAAGAUAUGCUGAAUCAUUUGACUGCUCUGAUAAGCAAAGACAAACCUGCUCCAGCACUCUGGCAGGAGCUGUUAGAGCUGCAAGGAUGCCUUAAUGAUGACUCAUUAAUUACUUGCAUAUCAGAAGCCUCUCUUGUGUGGGUGGUACGGAUGCAAAGGAUUGCCUGAAAAGGAUUGUGCGGCGAAUCUUGGCCGACAAGGUUUUAUAACUAAAGGCCAAAGAGGAGAAAAGUGUGCAUUCAAGGGGCUUUCAAAGGUGCAGACCAUGAUAUGCAAAGCAGUACAGAAGAACAAUGGGUGCAUGGAGGCUUCAGAUAACAUCAUCGAAGAAAGCAGCAGCAGAAAAUCGGGGUAGAAAGCAGACGAGAGAACGAAACUAAAUGAUAGCAUAUUAUAAGGAAGUGACAACUGUGUUUCUGUGCCCUGUGAAUUUACUGGAACGUUAGUCCUUCUCUAACAUGCAGGCUUUGAUGGCUGCUGCUACAAGCCAGUCCGACACAGUGCCCUAAACACAUAUUGUAGUCUGCCUACAAUUGUCUCCACUGCUCCUGCGGAUGCGGGUGAAGGUAUUGUCUCCUGCUGGAUUAGCAUGUACUCACCAGAGCGUUGCCAGGCCGGUGCAGUUCUAGACCUGCCCCCAGUUCAGUUCUUGGCCUGUGUAGUGGGCGGCGCCCUGGCUGGUCCUGGUCCUGUUCCUCAUUCCCACUCCCUGCAUCGGGUAUCUCUUGCUCCUGUGCCUGCGUAGCCACAUCAAGGAUGUCGUGAUCGUCGAACUCAUCAGCCACUUGCACAUCACGGAUGUAGCCCGUGCUGCGUCACUGCUACCAACAUCACUUGUUGCUAUGGGAACGGCCAACAUUUCAUCUUCAGACUCGCUGGUGUCAACC
rnacentral:lncRNA from 1 species